rnacentral:lncRNA from 1 species
CAAGUUCAUCUCGGGAACCAAGUACAUCGACCUUACUCCCGAGAUGGACAAGCUUUACAGGGACGAGCUCCGAGUGAUCAAGUCGCGGGACGAGCUCCUGUCAGUAAACAUCGUCAGGAAGCUGCUGAUGAUGGCUGUAGAGCAGGAGAUAUCACUCACCAAGAUUUCGUGGCUGGCGGCCGACUUUGGCCUUCCUCGAGACUUGGACACCGGCCUGGUCCACAGGUACCCGAAGUUUUUCAAUGUGAGAGAGACCAACCGGGGUCCGGUGCUCAAGCUU